CAGGUUUUAAAAUUUACAAUAUUUAUUGUGUAAUGUUUUCAAACUAUUUUCAGGUUUCUUCAAUACAUAAUGAUUAUAGAAUGUUUUUGAACAUAGCAAAUGGAAUACAUUUUAAAAUGUUUGAAUACAUUAAAACAAAAUUAAGUAAAGUAUAAUAUUAACUGACAAGGAGAUGCCACGAAUCUCUGGAUCGUUUUCCGAAUGAGUCAUGGCUUGUUCGGUGGCUGGUGUAUGGAUGGUGGAGGCCCUGAGGGGGUUUGAGUGAAUGGGCCUUUGUUUGCGAGAAAUUUGGGUGCAGGGUUGGGUUUGUUCAGCGAUACAGAAUAUAUACGUUAAAUGUAACAUUUUUCCACGUCUGUCGGCGUGGCGGAGUUGGUUAGGGAGCUUGUUUCGCGGAUAUGAUGAGAUCGCGGGUUCGCGUCUCGUUAUUCCAUGUUUUUUUUUUUUUUUGAAUAUUUUGUUUUGGUCGUUUUGGG
rnacentral:lncRNA from 1 species